rnacentral:rRNA from 1 species
CCUGGAUGAUUCUGCCAGUAGUCAUAUGCUUGUCUCAAAGAUUAAGCCAUGCAUGUCCAAGUAUAAGCAAUUUGUACCGUGAAACUAUGAAUGGCUCAUUAAAUCAGUUAUUGUUUAUUUGAUAGUACCUUACUACUUGGAUAACCGUGGUAAUUCUAGAGCUAAUACAUGCUAAAAACCCCAACUUUGGGAGGGGUGUAUUUAUUAGAUAAAAAACCCAUGCCCUCUGGGGCUCCUUGGUGAUUCAUGAUGACUUAACAAAUUGCAUGGCCUUGUGCCAGCGAUGGUUUAUUCAAAUUUCUGCCCUAUCAACUUUUGAUAGUAGGAUAGUGGCCUACCAUGGUUUCAACGGGUAACGGGGAAUUAGGGUUCUAUUCCGGAGAGGGAGCCUGAGAAACGGCUACCACAUCCAAGGAAGGCAGCAGGCGUGCAAAUUACCCUAUUCUGACACGGGGAGGUAGUGACAAUAAAUACUGAUAUGGGGCUCUUUUGGUUCUCACAAUUGGAAUGAGUACAAUUUAAAUCCCUUAAUGAGGAACAAUUGGAGGGCAAGUCUGGUGCCAGCAGCCGCGGUAAUUCCAGCUCCAAUAGCGUAUAUUAAAGUUGUUGCAGUUAAAAAGCUCGUAGUUGAACCUUGGGCCUGGCUGGCCGGUCCGCCUCACUGCGUGCACUGGUCCGGCUGGGCCUUUUGUUCUGGGGAGCCGUAUGCCCUUCACUGGGUGUGCCGGGGAACCAGGACUUUUACUUUGAAAAAAUUAGAGUGUUCAAAGCCGGCCUAUGCUCGGAUACAUUAGCAUGGAAUAAUCAAAUAAGACAUGGGGUUCUAUGUUGUUGGUUUCUAGGACCGCCGUAAUGAUUAAUAGUGAUGGUCGGGGGCAUCAGUAUUCAAUUGUCAGAGGUGAAAUUCUUGGAUUUAUUGAAGACUAACUACUGCAAAAGCAUUUGCCAAGGAUGUUUUCAUUAAUCAGGGAACAAAAGUUAGGGGAUCAAAGACGAUCAGAUACCAUUGUAGUCUUAACCAUAAACUAUGCUGACUAGGGAUUGGGCGGUGUUAUCAUUUUGACCGGUUCAGCACCUUACGAGAAAUCAAAGUUUUUGGGUUCUGGGGGGAGUAUGGUCAUAAGGCUGAAACUUAAAGAAAUUGAUGGAAGGGCACCAUCAGGUGUGGAGCCUGCGGCUUAAUUUGACUCAAUACGGGGAAACUCACCAGGUCCAGACAUAUUAAGGAUUGACAGAUUGAGGGCUCUUUCUUGAUUAUGUGGGUGGUGGUGCAUGGCCGUUCUUAGUUGGUGGAGUGAUUUAUCUACUUAAUUGCAAUAAUAAACGAGACCUUAACCUGCUAAAUAGCCAGGCCUGCCCUGGCAGGUCACCAGCUUCUUAGAGGGACUAUCGGAUUAAGCUAAUAGAAGUUUGAGGCAAUAAUAGGUCUGUGAUGCCCUUAGAUGCU